rnacentral:rRNA from 1 species
UACGGAGGGUGCGAGCGUUGUCCGGAAUCAUUGGGCGUAAAGGGCGCGUAGGUGGCGGGACAAGCGUGCGGUGAAAGCUCGGGGCUCAACCCCGAGUCGGCCGUGCGAACUGUUUUGCUUGAGCACUGUAGAGGCAGGCGGAAUUCCGGGUGUAGCGGUGGAAUGCGUAGAGAUCCGGAAGAACACCGGUGGCGAAGGCGGCCUGCUGGGCAGUAGCUGACACUGAGGCGCGACAGCGUGGGGAGCAAACGGG